CGGGCCGCCUCGAAGCUCCCUUCCAACGGGCGGCGUGCUGAAUCCUUUGCAGACGACUUAAAACGCGACGGGGCAUUGUAAGUGGCAGAAUGGCCUUGCUGCCACGAUCCACUGAGAUCCAGCCCCGCGUC
rnacentral:rRNA from 1 species